CUGGUUGAUCCUGCCAGUAGUCAUAUGCUUGUUUCAAAGAUUAAGCCAUGCAAGUCUAAGUAUAAGCUUUUAUACGGCAAAACUGCGAAUAGCUCAUUACAACAGUUAUAAUUUACACGACGAUCAUUACCAAAUGGAUAUCCAUGGUAAUUCUGGAGCUAAUACAUGCAAAUACACCAGACUUUAGGGAAUGGUGGCAUUCAUUAGCCUUAGAACCAAUCAAGUAGUCAUACUUGUUCCUGGUGAUCAUAAUGACCGAGCGGAUCGCAUCACUGCGACAGUUCGUUCAAGUUUCUGACCUAUCAGCUCCCGUCGGUAGGGUAUUGGCCUACCGAGGCUGUGACGGGUAACGGGGAAUUAGGGUUCGAUUCCGGAGAGGGAGCCUGAGAAACGGCUACCACAUCUAAGGAUGGCAGCAGGCGCGCAAAUUACCCAAUCCCGACACGGGGAGGUAGUGACCAGAAAUAGCAACUCAGGACCUUCGGUUCUGCGAUUGCAAUGAGCGAAAAGCAAAACUAUUUGCGAGUACCUAUUGGAGGGCAAGUCUGGUGCCAGCAGCCGCGGUAAUUCCAGCUCCAAUAGCGUAUAUUAAAAUUGCUGCAGUUAAAGCGUCCGUAGUUGAAUUUCGUUCAAAUUGAAUUGUGCCGUAUUUUCCUCGUGUUAGUUCGAGUACUUUUCGAUUAGAACUUGGGUGAGAUGUAUUCGUUUCGGCGAGUUCGUUUCGCUCCGUUACUUUGAGCAAAUUGGAGUGCUCCAACCAGGCUUAAGCUUGAACAGCUCAGCAUGGAAUAACAAGAUAAGACUUUAGUUCUUCUUGUUGGUGACAUGAACUAAUAGUAAUGGUUGAUAAGGACAUACGGGGGCAUUUGUACUUGCUGGAGAGAGGUGAAAUUCUAAGACCCAGCAAAGACAAACAAGUGCGAAAGCAUUUGCCCAGUGUGUACCUGUUAAUCAAGGACGAAAGUUGGGGGAUCGAAGACGAUUAGAUACCGUCGUAGUCCCAACUAUAAACUAUGCCGACUGAGGAUCGGAGGCCGUACUUUUACGACUCCUUCGGCACUCCAAGAGAAAUCUAAGUCUCUGGGACCUGGGGGGAGUAUGGUCGCAAGGCUGAAACUUAAAGGAAUUGACGGAAGGGCACCACCAGGAGUGGAGCCUGCGGCUUAAUUUGACUCAACGCGGGGAACCUCACCAGGCCCGGACAUAGUCAUGAUUGACAGAUUGAGAGUUCUUUCUCGAUUCUAUGGGUGNUGGUGCAUGGCCGUUCUUAGUCGGUGAGGUGACUUGUCUGGUUAAUUCCGAUAACGGACGAGACCUCGACCUACUAACUAGCUACUGAUUACUUCGGUAAGCAGCCAGCUUCUUAGAGGAACUUUGUGAGUCUAUCACAAGGAAGUUCGAGCCUAUAACAGGUCUGUGAUGCCCUUAGAUGGCCUGGGCUGCACGUGCGCUACAAUGACAGAGUCAGCGAGUAUUACCCUUCUCCGUCCGGAGUGGGCAAUCUUUUGAAACUCUGUCGUGAUAGGGAUUGACCCUUGCAAUUAUGGGUCAUGAACGAGGAAUUCCUAGUAAGGACAAGUCAUCACCUUGUGCUGAUUACGUCCCUGCCCUUUGUACACACCGCCCGUCGCUUCAACCGAUUGGAUGAUCCGGCAAACUACAUGGACUUUUGAUGUCGCUUUGCUCACGCAUCGCACUUCGAAAGGAAGUGUCGUGAGCCUUAUCAUCUAGAGGAUGAAGAAGUCGUAACACGGUAUCCGUAGGUGACCUGCG
rnacentral:rRNA from 1 species